rnacentral:tRNA from 1 species
CAUUAGAUGGCUGAAAGUAAGUGCUGGUCUCUUAAACCAUUCUAUAAUAGAUUAACACCUAUUUCUAAUG